AACGAACGCUGGCGGCAGGCUUAACACAUGCAAGUCGAACGGGUGUAGCAAUACAUCAGUGGCAGACGGGUGAGUAACACGUGGGAACCUUCCUCGGGGUACGGAACAACUCAGGGAAACUUGAGCUAAUACCGUAUACGUCCGUGAGGAGAAAGAUUUAUCGCCCUGAGACGGGCCCGCGUCGGAUUAGCUAGUUGGUGGGGUAACGGCCUACCAAGGCGACGAUCCGUAGCUGAUCUUAGAGGAUGAUCAGCCACACUGGGACUGAGACACGGCCCAGACUCCUACGGGAGGCAGCAGUGGGGAAUCUUGGACAAUGGGGGCAACCCUGAUCCAGCCAUGCCGCGUGAGUGAAGAAGGUCUUCGGAUUGUAAAGCUCUUUUGCCAGGGACGAUAAUGACGGUACCUGGAGAAUAAGCCCCGGCAAACUUCGUGCCAGCCGCCGCAGUAAAAC
rnacentral:rRNA from 1 species